rnacentral:rRNA from 1 species
UAGGGAAUCUUCGGCAAUGGGGGCAACCCUGACCGAGCAACGCCGCGUGAGUGAAGAAGGUUUUCGGAUCGUAAAGCUCUGUUGUAAGAGAAGAACGUGUGUGAGAGUGGAAAGUUCACACAGUGACGGUAACUUACCAGAAAGGGACGGCUAACUACGUGCCAGCAGCCGCGGUAUUACGUAGGUCCCGAGCGUUGUCCGGAUUUAUUGGGCGUAAAGCGAGCGCAGGCGGUUUAAUAAGUCUGAAGUUAAAGGCAGUGGCUUAACCAUUGUUCGCUUUGGAAACUGUUAAACUUGAGUGCAGAAGGGGAGAGUGGAAUUCCAUGUGUAGCGGUGAAAUGCGUAGAUAUAUGGAGGAACACCGGUGGCGAAAGCGGCUCUCUGGUCUGUAACUGACGCUGAGGCUCGAAAGCGUGGGGAGCAAACAGG